UUCGUACGUAGCAGAGCAGCUCCCU
rnacentral:piRNA from 5 species